rnacentral:rRNA from 1 species
UACGUAGGGUGCAAGCGUUAAUCGGAAUUACUGGGCGUAAAGCGUGCGCAGGCGGUUUUGUAAGCCAGAUGUGAAAUCCCCGGGCUUAACCUGGGAAUGGCAUUUGGGACUGCAAGGCUUGAGUGCGGCAGAGGAGACUGGAAUUCCUGGUGUAGCAGUGAAAUGCGUAGAUAUCAGGAGGAACACCGAUGCGAAGGCAGGUCUCUGGGCAGUAACUGACGCUGAGGAGCGAAAGCGUGGGGAGCGAACAG